GUUCGACUCCGUCCUUGGCCUACA
rnacentral:sRNA from 1 species